UAAGGCCUGUACUACACUAUUGUACAUCUCCUGAAUGCAACUCAAGCACUUUAAUUAAGCUAAAGCCUCU
rnacentral:tRNA from 1 species